GAUUCAGUAGUCUCGCUAAAUCGAAUAGAAGGAAUGAGAUGAUAGGAGAGGAUCGUGGUUUUGGAUGGAUUUUGUUAAUUCGGAUCUAACUAGAGGGGAUUGAAGGCAAAAAAAAAACUAAACAAAGCGUCAAAUCUGGAAAGUUUGAGAAGGAGAGACGUUUGGCUGGUUCCGAUUUUCGGCUUGGAGUUUUUACAAGC
rnacentral:misc_RNA from 1 species